GAUUUCUGUUUUCACAAAUCUGGCCCGCCAGGGUUACCUGUGUGAGUGCUGAUAAGUAGAAAACAUCCUUGUAGUAUUGGUCACUUCUCUUCAUUGAGCUAGUGCAUCAAGCUAUAUCUUUUACUUUGAACAAAUUAGAGUGUUUCAAGCAGGCUUACUAGCUAUGAAUACAUUAGCAUGGAAUAAUAAUAUAGGACUUUGGUCUUAUUUUGUUGGUUUCUAAGAUUGAAGUAAUGAUUGAUAGGGAUAGUUGGGGGUGCUAGUAUUCAGCGGCCAGAGGUGAAAUUCUCGGAUUCGCUGAAGACUAACUUAUGCGAAAGCAUU
rnacentral:rRNA from 1 species